rnacentral:tRNA from 1 species
GCCCAGCUGGCUCAGUUGGGGGAGCUUGUGACUCUUGAGCUCAAGGUUGUGAGUUCAAGCCCCACGCUGGAUG